CCCAAUACAGGCCAGGCAUAGAGCUGGGAGUAGAUGAGACGCUCUCCUUGGUUGUUCGGGGCCAUCAUCCAAUGCAGAGCGCAGAAUCCGGACCUUGGAGACAUUCUCAUCAUUGACGGGCAGUGGUUCAGCUACAUCUGUCAGUGGUUGGGCUUCACCUACAUAACAGAACAGACAUGGACAGGACAACAUCAUAUCUCAACAACCACAGAUGACCCAUCUUGAUCUAUCGACCCCACCAACAGAACCUGGCCAAGAAAGCCCCAAAACUUCUGCUCUUCCUCCCAUAUGCUGCUACUGUUUUUUUUAAAAUUUAUUUUCUAUUAUUCUUAAAUUUGCUAUGAACCUUUGACCCGACACUCAUAUUGCACUGCCUUUUGCUACUUGUCCCUUUGUUUAUUUAUAUUAUGUCUAGUAAUGUCAUCCACUUGCACUGAUACACUAUAUUAAUACAGUGUACAUGCUGUCUGCAAUGUUAAUAAAUAACUGCUUCCCUA